rnacentral:rRNA from 1 species
CAGUAGCCGCGGGAAUACGGAGGGGGCUAGCGUUGUUCGGAAUUACUGGGCGUAAAGCGCACGUAGGCGGCUUUGUAAGUCAGAGGUGAAAGCCCGGGGCUCAACCCCGGAAUUGCCUUUGAGACUGCAUCGCUUGAAUCCAGGAGAGGUGAGUGGAAUUCCGAGUGUAGAGGUGAAAUUCGUAGAUAUUCGGAAGAACACCAGUGGCGAAGGCGGCCAUCUGGGACAACACUGACGCUGAGGCACGAAAGCGUGGGGAGCAAACAGGAUUAGAUACCCCAGUAGUCCCUGUCUCUUAUAC